rnacentral:rRNA from 1 species
GAUGAACGCUGGCGGCGUGCCUAAUACAUGCAAGUCGAGCGAACAGACGAGGAGCUUGCUCCUCUGACGUUAGCGGCGGACGGGUGAGUAACACGUGGAUAACCUACCUAUAAGACUGGGAUAACUUCGGGAAACCGGAGCUAAUACCGGAUCAUAUAUUGAACCGCAUGGUUCAAUAGUGAAAGACGGUUUUGCUGUCACUUAUAGAUGGAUCCGCGCCGCAUUAGCUAGUUGGUAAGGUAACGGCUUACCAAGGCAACGAUGCGUAGCCGACCUGAGAGGGUGAUCAGCCACACUGGAACUGAGACACGGUCCAGACUCCUACGGGAGGCAGCAGUAGGGAAUCUUCCGCAAUGGGCGAAAGCCUGACGGAGCAACGCCGCGUGAGUGAUGAAGGUCUUCGGAUCGUAAAACUCUGUUAUUAGGGAAGAACAAAUGUGUAAGUAACUAUGCACGUCUUGACGGUACCUAAUCAGAAAGCCACGGCUAACUACGUG